rnacentral:pre_miRNA from 1 species
AAUAAUGAUUAUUAACUCUAUGCGUUGAGAUAGGCAUAGUAAUUUUAUUUGUGCCUAUCUCCACACAUAGAAUUAAUAAUCAUGA